rnacentral:misc_RNA from 1 species
AAGUCGUAACAAGGUUUCCGUAGGUGAACCUGCGGAAGGAUCAUUAACACUAAUGAAAUCCAAAACCUUUUGGAUCAACCCAACCUUUAGCGAACCGAUCGUUUUUCUUUCUCCUUGCCCCUUUUUUAUCAAACCCAAACUUAUCUGAUGUAAAGUGUCUGAUUUCAUAUUCUCCACGACGCCUUGAUUGGCUCGGAGGGAAUCAAAAUCUAACGCAAUACAACUCUUAACAACGGAUAUCUUGGCUCUC